UAAAAGAUGUUAUUAUGUCUUAAGGAUCACC
rnacentral:piRNA from 1 species